rnacentral:rRNA from 1 species
AUUAGAUGAGCCUAUAUUAGAUUAGCUAGUUGGUGGAGUAAUAGCCUACCAAGGCAAUGAUCUAUAGCUGAUCUGAGAGGAUGAUCAGCCACACUGGAACUGAGAUACGGUCCAGACUCCUACGGGAGGCAGCAGUGGGGAAUAUUGGACAAUGGGCGAAAGCCUGAUCCAGCCAUGCCGCAUGAGUGAAGAAGGCCUUUGGGUUGUAAAGCUCUUUUAGUGAGGAAGAUAAUGACGGUACUCACAGAAGAAGUCCUGGCUAACUCCGUGCCAGCAGCCGCGGUAAUACGGAGAGGGCUAGCGUUAUUCGGAAUUAUUGGGCGUAAAGGGCGCGUAGGCUGAUUAAUAAGUUAAAAGUGAAAUCCCGAGGCUUAACCUUGGAAUUGCUUUUAAAACUAUUAAUCUAGAGAUUGAAAGAGGAUAGAGGAAUUCCUGAUGUAGAGGUAAAAUUCGUAAAUAUUAGGAGGAACACCAGUGGCGAAGGCGUCUAUCUGGUUCAAAUCUGACGCUGAAGCGCGAAGGCGUGGGGAGCAAACAGGAUUAGAUACCCUGGUAGUCCACGCUGUAAACGAUGAAUGUUAAAUAUGGGAAGUUUA